rnacentral:rRNA from 1 species
CCUACGGGGGGCUGCAGUGAGGAAUAUUGGUCAAUGGGCGCGAGCCUGAACCAGCCAAGUAGCGUGAGGGAUGAAUGUCCUACGGAUUGUAAACUUCUUUUGUCAGGGAAUAAAGUCAGGCACGUGUGCCUUUUUGUGUGUACUUGAUGAAUAAGCAUCGGCUAACUCCGUGCCAGCAGCCGCGGUAAUACGGAGGAUGCGAGCGUUAUCCGGAUUUAUUGGGUUUAAAGGGAGCGUAGAUGGGUUGGUAAGUCAGUUGUGAAAGUCUGCGGCUCAACCGUCAAAUUGCCAUUGAUACUGGCAGUCUUGAGUACAGUGGAGGUAGGCGGAAUUCGUGGUGUAGCGGUGAAAUGCUUAGAUAUCACGAAGAACUCCGAUUGCGAAGGCAGCUUACUAACCUGCCACUGACAUUGAGGCUCGAAAGCGUGGGUAUCAAACAGGAUUAGAUACCCUAGUAGUC